UAUUUUAUAAAUCUAUCAACCUAAAACACACUGAAAACCUAAGUUUUUAAAGGCAUUGUGUUGGAAUCUUCGAGGAGUACAGAGAUGUUUCUUUUACCCAAAGGAAAUAUCAGUCUAGCUGAGGAAAUAAGACACAUGUGAAAUAAUAACUGAAAAAACUCGGUAUUAAAUGUCUGUGAGUGAGGAAUCGGAGAGACAUAGCAGAAAAUUUCACGGGAAGGACAGAUCAGCCUUGCCUAGCAGGGCCCGGGGACUCAGGAAUGGGCAGGAACUUCCAGAAAUAAACCCUGCCUUGGGUAAAGGAGCACAGGAAGGAGUUGGGGAACCCUCGCUCUGAGCCGUGGGUCUGGGUGUAGCUGGCCCUGCAGGACACAUCUGCUUUUCAUCAUCCCUGUGCACAGAUUGUCAGGAAAGAAGUGAGGGAGAGCCCGAGCUUCCGAGACAGACGGGCAGAUGUUCAAAUCCUAGCCCUGCCUCCAGAUGAUCUAGUCUAGAGAAAGCCAGUUUUCAAGGAACACUCCCUAAAGGCUGCUGAGAGCUCGAGGAGAGAAGAGAAGCAUCGAACCAAGUCCCUGGUGCAAGUAGCUGUGGAAGAGAUGGCCGCUCCCUGCUCUGCCCUGUCCUCGCUGUCUUCCUAACCUCUGGGAGAAGGAGAAAGGACAAACCAUCCUCCUCCUCUUAAAGAUACAUGACUUCUGAGAGGAAAGGAUAGAAAAACAAGGAAAAAUUAAAAGAAAAACAGUGAAGACACACGAACGACCAGGACACAUCUACAUAACAAGCAUGAGAAGACACACACUUGCAGAUAUUAGAACAUGGGAUCUUAGAAGCAACCACAGAUGUUCUCUUACCCAACCAAUCAGGCCUUCCUCCCCAGCUUCCCAGAGAGAGAACUCAACCUGACAUCGGCUUAGCUUAAGGCUAGUCCCAAUGAUCUUGUUUAGACUUGCAGGCUCCGUCUGGAAAGACACAACUUAACACCACACUGACCCUAACCUACCCACAGCCAAUUCGGACACCCUAGAAACUGUACAAGAAAGGUGAGGACUUUGAGGAAACCCCUGGCUGUCGGCCAAGUCAACAUCAUCAUCAGCCAGAAUGCACACACCCCUGACUACUCCCGUCCCUGUUACUUUGCCCUGCUGUGGCCUUCCCCACGCCUUGGCAUCCUGCAACUGCUUUUAAACAUUUCUCUCCUCUGCCAUCUUAAACCUCCAUUCUUCUGUGAAUAAAUUGAACUCCUACCUCAACUUCUUCCCAUGGUUCGCUCCUCCCCUGCCCAUUUUACUGAGAUCUGUUUCUCCCUCGAAGCCACUGUUUCUAUCAGAGCCCUUUGGAGAGAAAACGGCUUUUCCCCCUGCUUCCGGAGGUUUGUCCAUAAGUGGCAUAAGGGAGGCUUGAAUCCUCAGUAUGUCGACGGGAACAGGCCAGCCACUGACGAGAACGAAGCUGGCCCAGUUGGGGCACAAUUGGAAGUGGUGGAGGACGUGACACGCCCCAGGUAAACACGGCAGCCACUUGGCUGCCAGAAAGAGUUUCGGCCAUUCAGGACUAAAAGCAAGCAUUUGCCACAUCUUCUAAUUUUUCAAAAGAAGCCAGAAAUUCAUGUUUUCAUGGUAGGAUCUCUAUAUUUUAAAUAUCAGCAACUAAUUUAAAAUGUUCAAACUUUGUAUAAUAAAUAAAACU